GGAGCCCCUCCCUGAAGAUCUUGACUACAUACAAAAAGAAACAAAUCAAGACCUGAAUAGGCUCCCACUGCACCUGGAGCUGAGGUGGCAGCCAGAUGGCACCAAUGAUCCACCUCUGUCUGCAUCACAAUACUGGAAUUCUGAGAUCACAUAAGUUCCACAUUAUCUGCUGAAGCACAGGCAGAGAAUUUGACUACUGGAGCACCUCACAGGAGUGGACUCAUGCAGUAAUGGCUGGCUCAGUCUGCUGGUGUGCUUCCAGGUUCAUGCCUGUCCUAGCAUGUGCUGACUUUCCUUCCCUGUACGGAUGACCAGAGUUCUGCAGUAUGUGCAUACCAUGUUAUUCACUGCUCUGGAAAUCACGAGUACUGCUGCUAUGGACAUUAUUGUGGAAACAUGCAUUACAGGCUGCUUCUGAUCCCUUAGGGUGCUGCAGAUCUCCUCUGUCAUCCAGUGAUCUGGUCCCUGGCAGAAGCAGAACAUACACCCAUCUUUUCCUCAGAACAUUAGGCACAGGCUUGAAGACCACAAUCCUCUCAUCUCAGAGUUUCUCUGUGUAGCUUUGGCUGUCCUGGACUCGCUUUGUAUACUAGACUGGCCUUGAACUCACCUAGGUCUGCCACUGCAUGCUGCUGAUAUCUCAUAGGCGUAACUCGCAGAGUUCCUGUGCUGCAGUGGAAGCAAAUAAAGACGCACUCAUGAGCAGAACCUGAAAUAAUCUGUCGACUUUCUGUUAGGAAACAGGGAUUUUAAACACGGAAAAUGUCUCCUGAUGGGACCUGGCUCAAAGAAACCACAGACAUCAAUGGUGGAGUUGUACUGAGAAAGGAGGCACAGCAUGACUCCUGAGGAUUGCAAUGUAAAUACUUCAGCUUCUGGCAAGUCAGUCAUCAAUAUGACUUCUCUUUAGGUCACUUUGGUCAUCUAACUCCCUCAUCUAAGGAGACAUUUUGAAUAUCAGUUGUCUUUAUGUGUUGGAACAUAUGACUUUUCAUUCUGACCAAAAUUAAACUGAACUACACAAAUGAAGCAAGAACAUGUGCAAUGGUGGCUGUUAAGCAUGGAUGCCCUUACUGAUCUUGAAGACAGCACUAAGGUCAUGUAGACUCCUAGAUCCAAGGUUAUCAAAAGACAUAAUCACAUCACCUCAUUGAACUUCCCUGCACAAUCUUCUCUGCAAUCUCGCGGUUACGUGUCUUUAUUUCUUCCAUAAAAUACUCAUAAGAAAAUUCCUCUUCAUCAAGUGACAUCCAAUUGUGGUGAUCACCUAAUCUGAGCUUCAUGGAUGUCAAUAUCUUAACAUUUUCUUUUCAAUUUUAAUUUUAUUUUUGAUUACGUGUUUAUGUGUCCAUAUGAGUGCCGGUCACCCUGGAGGCCAGAAAACCCUGUUGGAUUCUCUGGAACUGGAAUUGCAGGCAGUUGCAGUGAUACCUGAAACAGAAUCUGGGAACAUGGAUCCCCUGCAGGACCAGCAUGUGCUCCUCACCACUGAGCCGUCUCUUCAGUCCCACCAAUACCUUUUUUAUGCAAAUGUCCUAUUGGGAGCUCUUCUGUAGCCUUCAUCUCAGAACUAUGUCUUUGACACACUUCAAAUGUAUACUUCCUUCACCUCCCCAAAGCCAAACUUGCCACAUAAGGACUGAACCACUGAGAGGAUCUCUUGAUAGUUCUCAAGGCGGAUCAUAAUGACAAGGACUAGACAUGCUGCUCUCUCACCCACAUGCUCAUCUUCUUCAACAGGUGGCUGAAAGUUGCCUUCACAAUGCUUGUUUUCUCCAAUGCACUGAAGGCAUCUGUGGUCCUAAUCUCCCAGGUUUUGUGAGACGCUCUUUUUAUCUUAACUUUUGUGUCCUGUCUGUUCUCCUCCUGCCUGUGCUUGCCCUCUGUCCCCACGGGCACCAAGAUCAGAUGAGGUGGGACUGUUGCUCCUCCUGGCUGGUUCUGCUUCAUGCUCCCCCAUGUCAGCUCCCUGAGCUGGCUUCCAUCUCUCAGCUCCACCUGGUUGCCAUCCAGUCUAGUCAUGCCUUUUUCCUUCUGUCACCAGCCAUGCUUGCUGUGUCAGGCCUGCACCAUGCUCAGGUUGGAGGUUGCUCCUCCAGGACAGGUGGGCUUAGCUAUUUGGGAUCCCUUUAAAUGUUAAUUUUAGUACCUGUGAAAAUUUCUAUAAUGGAAACAGCUGAAAUGUUAUGUGAAUUCGUUGACCUUGUAGAUGAAUCUUGGAAGUUAUGUCACCUUAACAAUCCUACCCUUCUACAUUACAAUGCUACCUUUCCAUCUUAACAAUGCUAGCCUUCCACCUUAAAAAUCCUAGCCUCUACCUUAACACUUUUAGCCUUCCAUCUUAAUACUAGCCUUCCAGCUUACCAAAUGCUAGCCUUCUUAACAAUUCUAGGCUUCCACCUUAACAAUCCUAGUCUUCCACCAUAAGGAUGCUACCUUCUAGUUCAGGAAUAUUUUUUUCAAUUAUUUAACUUUUUGAAAAUUUCUUUCAAAGAUAUUUUGCUUUUAUAUUUUUCUGUUUCCUACUGCAGGAAUGAAGGAGUUUUGUCCCAGGCUGGCUGCUUGUUAUCUUGAAGUGAGACAAACUGAGUCUGUGGAGAGAGGAAGCAAAGAUCUCUUCCAAACCCUGGCUGGCUGUGACAAGAUUCCCUUUGCAGAUCACCUCAGACCUAGCACCUGGAUGAGGGAGAGGAGUAUAGCCACUGAGAGGACUAGGUUUGGUGAGGGCUGACUGCUCAGGAGAGGUUUCCCCUAUUUCCUCCUUUCCUAUUAUCUAUCUAUCUAUCUAUCUAUCUAUCCAUCCAUCAUCUGUCUAUCAACCCAUCUAUCUAUCCAUCCAUCCAACCACCAUCCAACCAUUCAUCCACCCCCUCUCUAUCUAUUUAUCUAUCGAUCCAUCAUAUAUCUAUCUAUCUAUCUAUCUAUCUAUCUAUCUAUCUAUCUAUCUAUCUAUCUAUCUUGUGGAGAGCUGUGGGACACAGCUACAGACAAAGCCAGCCUGAGAGGCCCAGAAGCUCAAUAUUGAACUCAGAGGGUGAUCCUGGAAGACAUCCAGGAAAGCUGUGCCUGCCUUUCAUUUCCAAGUCUAUAGUUUAGCUGGAUAGUCCCGAACGCUCCAGGUAACUCGUAAGCCUCCGGCACCUGGACACAAAUGGCCUCUUGCUAAAGCAACACACCUGCGGCCAAGCUUGACCAGCUGAGUUGGAUCACUAGGACUCACACUGUGGUGUGGAGAGCUGCUUGUUAAACUGCUUUGUUAUGUUUUCACCCGAGGAAGUAGUUUUUGAAAAGAAGUUAGGUGUUUCCACACCUUUUCCUUCUUGUAUUGAUGUGGCUUGUUUUUGCUUUGCCUAUAAACAAUGAACUCUGGAAUAAACUCGCGCUGUUUCAGCCAGAAUGACAGCCCUCUCAAGCCAA